rnacentral:rRNA from 1 species
GUGGGGAAUCUUGGACAAUGGGCGCAAGCCUGAUCCAGCCAUGCCGCGUGAGUGAAGAAGGCCUUAGGGUUGUAAAGCUCUUUCGGCGGGGACGAUAAUGACGGUACCCGCAGAAGAAGCCCCGGCUAACUCCGUGCCAGCAGCCGCGGUAAUACGGAGGGGGCUAGCGUUGUUCGGAAUUACUGGGCGUAAAGCGCACGUAGGCGGACUGUUAAGUCGGGGGUGAAAUCCUGGGGCUCAACCUCAGAAUUGCCUCCGAUACUGGCAGUCUCGAGUGCGGGAGAGGUGAGUGGAAUUCCCAGUGUAGAGGUGAAAUUCGUAGAUAUUGGGAAGAACACCAGUGGCGAAGGCGGCUCACUGGCCCGUAACUGACGCUGAGGUGCGAAAGCGUGGGGAGCAAACAGGAUUAGAAACCCUUGUAGUCC